CCUACGGGAGGCAGCAGUGAGGAAUAUUGGUCAAUGGACGAGAGUCUGAACCAGCCAAGCAGCGUGAAGGAUGACUGCCCUAUGGGUUGUAAACUUCUUUUAUAUGGGAAUAAAAUGUUCCACGUGUGGGAUUUUGUAUGUACUAUAUGAAUAAGGAUCGGCUAACUCCGUGCCAGCAGCCGCGGUAAUACGGAGGAUCCGAGCGUUAUCCGGAUUUAUUUGGUUUAAAGGGAGCGUAGGUGGAUUGUUAAGUCAGUUGUGAAAGUUUGCGGCUCAACCGUAAAAUUGCAGUUGAUACUGGCAGUCUUGAGUACAGUAGAGGUAGGCGGAAUGCGUGGUGUAGCGGUGAAAUGCUUAGAUAUCACGAAGAACUCCGAUUGCGAAGGCAGUUCACUAGACUGCAACUGACACUGAGGCUCGAAAGUGUGGGUAUCAAACAGGAUUAGAUACCCUUGUAGUC
rnacentral:rRNA from 1 species